rnacentral:rRNA from 1 species
GAUGAACGCUGGCGGCGUGCCUAAUACAUGCAAGUCGAGCGAACAGAUAAGGAGCUUGCUCCUUUGACGUUAGCGGCGGACGGGUGAGUAACACGUGGGUAACCUACCUAUAAGACUGGAAUAACUCCGGGAAACCGGGGCUAAUGCCGGAUAACAUUUAGAACCGCAUGGUUCUAAAGUGAAAGAUGGUUUUGCUAUCACUUAUAGAUGGACCCGCGCCGUAUUAGCUAGUUGGUAAGGUAACGGCUUACCAAGGCAACGAUACGUAGCCGACCUGAGAGGGUGAUCGGCCACACUGGAACUGAGACACGGUCCAGACUCCUAAGGGAGGCAGCAGUAGGGAAUCUUCCGCAAUGGGCGAAAGCCUGACGGAGCAACGCCGCGUGAGUGAUGAAGGUCUUCGGGUCGUAAAACUCUGUUAUUAGGGAAGAACAAAUGUGUAAGUAACUGUGCACGUCUUGACGGUACCUAAUCAGAAAGCCACGGCUAACUACGUG